rnacentral:rRNA from 1 species
UGACUGGGGUGAAGUCGUAACAAGGUAGCCGUAUCGGAAGGUGCGGCUGGAUCACCUCCUUUCUAGA